AAAUUGAAGAGUUUGAUCAUGGCUCAGAUUGAACGCUGGCGGCAGGCCUAACACAUGCAAGUCGAACGGUAACAGGAAGCAGCUUGCUGCUUCGCUGACGAGUGGCGGACGGGUGAGUAAUGUCUGGGAAACUGCCUGAUGGAGGGGGAUAACUACUGGAAACGGUAGCUAAUACCGCAUAACGUCGCAAGACCAAAGAGGGGGACCUUCGGGCCUCUUGCCAUCAGAUGUGCCCAGAUGGGAUUAGCUUGUUGGUGGGGUAACGGCUCACCAAGGCGACGAUCCCUAGCUGGUCUGAGAGGAUGACCAGCCACACUGGAACUGAGACACGGUCCAGACUCCUACGGGAGGCAGCAGUGGGGAAUAUUGCACAAUGGGCGCAAGCCUGAUGCAGCCAUGCCGCGUGUAUGAAGAAGGCCUUCGGGUUGUAAAGUACUUUCAGCGGGGAGGAAGGGAGUAAAGUUAAUACCUUUGCUCAUUGACGUUACCCGCAGAAGAAGCACCGGCUAACUCCGUGCCAGCAGCCGCGGUAAUACGGAGGGUGCAAGCGUUAAUCGGAAUUACUGGGCGUAAAGCGCACGCAGGCGGUUUGUUAAGUCAGAUGUGAAAUCCCCGGGCUCAACUUGGGAACUGCAUCUGAUACUGGCAAGCUUGAGUCUCGUAGAGGGGGG
rnacentral:rRNA from 1 species